AUGUAUCCCUCUUCUCAAACAGAAUCGGUGCCGCUCGACAUCUCUUCCGUCGUCUUCUUCUUCCGUUCGCCAGUCCUCCGUCACGAUUCUCCUUCAACCCAACAUCUCACCUCACGAUCUUCGGCGUCACCUUACAAACUCCACCGAUCUUCAACGUUCACCGCCGUCUCGCUCAUGCUUCAGUUGAUCGUCAAUCGAACCGCUAUUCAGAAUGAUCUUCUCUCACGUUUUUCGUCUCUGACGACCUCAACACAGCGUCGCCACUGUUUCCCUUACGAUCAUCGUCAAUUCUGGAUCUUCAUUGUGUUUCUCUUCUCAUCUUCAUGCGUCUAA